AUGAAAAAAGCAGCAAAUUUGUCACCUUCACUGGCAAUUCAGUAUAAUAUCAUAUAUAUAUAUAUAUAUCAACAGUGGUGGCUGGACGAUAGAGGGCAAUGGGGCGUUGCCCCACCUGGNNCCCCCCCCCCCCAAAAAGGAAAGAUGAAAUUACAUUUUAAAAAAUGUCAAUAUCUGUUGAAAUAUGGAAUGUACUCACUUAUGUUUGUAACUGCACACCCCUGCCUGUCAUACGCAAGUCCUGUCUUUAUGCCCACAGAAGGCAUGUCCAAGAAGCAUUUUAGCCAAUUAAAUUAAAUUAAAAAAAGUUCAGGAGUUGGUGGUAUAUGAACCUACUUCUAACUUGGUUAAUAUGAUGGUGACUGCUUCUUAUCAACAGUCAAUGGUGGAAAGAUAAAAGGGAAGUUGUUACUAGACUUUUAUUCAUCAGCUGGAUACAGCCACGAGGCUCCUGUUAAUGUUGCUCUGUGUUUGCUGCUUGUGUCACCACCCCAACUAAAAUGUAGCGUUUUGCCUUUUAACGAAAAGACAACGACUUUGAAUACUGGAUGAGGAAUGGAGCAUUUUCGUCCUUUUAACUGCAUUUUGUAAAAGCAUGUGUCUAGGCUUAUAGCAUGUGACAUAUAAGUAGAUUCACUGUAAACUGCUCUACAAAUCCCUAAAUGCAGCCACUCAUCCCAGAAGAGCUAAGCGUUUCUCUUCCAGUGUCGUCUUGAUCGCCAAAUACAGCUCAAAAAUGUGCCUGCCUUCGAAAAACUGUAUUUUACAAUCUCAAUAAGGAAUGAAUUCAGCAAAAUAAACCUUGGCACAGGUAUCUCCAAGACAUCUGUCUCCAAAUGUUACUUUUCUGGUUUGUGGGACAUGGGAUCAGUUCACACCUUGAAGAGUUAAUAUAUCAGGAUGUGGGAGAGGAAACAGAUCAGUGCCUCAUGAGUUGGAGGACAUGUAAACCAUCCACAGAAACUCCAGCAUGCAAGAAAAUUUGUACGCAUCCUGGACUACUCUCCAUCCAUCCUUCACAAAGGAGACAGGUGAUGAGAAACUCUGGACCACAAGCAGCAAUUUAUUUUCGUUCCAAAUGAGUUUUCCUUUCCUUCCAGAAUUCCUCACCAUGCUCAGAGUGUGUGUUGUGUGCAGUGGCUAUUAUCCUUGCUCUGUUCAAUUAUUGAGUUGUGAACGCCAUGGGGUGAAAACCAAAGCACACCACGUACAGGCCAAAUAAAUCUGUAAUUUUUUGGCUAGGUCUAAAUCUUUCUGUCCUGACUGCUGCUGUUUCAACAUCCCUGUUUUAGCCAGCAGGCUCGAAACCGCAGUAGAUCUGUUUUUCCCCAAGUGCAGCCUUGCAGUCCCACCCGUAGCAUGAAUGACAUCUCCACAGUGUAUAUAAGGGUAGUAGUCUUGACAGAAACGCCACCAACCCACACAACCCCCCCUGAGAAACCUAAAAUAAUGACAUGAUCAACUUGACUUAUAUCAAAGGAGCACAGUACCCAUGAACAAUAUUAGUAUUAGUGUAGUAUUAAAACACUACUACAUCACUGCAUUUCUGCAUUUGGAGGAUGUUCAAUUUUGAUUAUACACUGUAGAUAUGAAUAUGUUUGUCAGUCUAAAGGCUAUACAUAAAGGUGACAUUCGUAGAUAAACCACAAUAUAUAAGGUGAAAUGUAACAAGCAGAAUCUUCAAUACAAUUACCAUUAAAUAAUGAUAAUUUUUCAAAAUAUGAUAAUAAUUUUUCAAAAUAUCAACUAUUGAAAGUUGUGAAAAUGUCCAAAGAUCCAGGUGAUUUUAUUAUUGGGUGAUGAAUUAUGGCCCCGGGGAAGACAGGUGGAGGGAUUACAUCUCCUCCCUGGUCUGGGACACCUUGGGAUGCUCUAGUCAGAGCUGGUAGAUGUGACCCAGGAAAGGAAAAUUUAGGAUCCCCUGCUAGUGCUCUUGCCCCCCUCGUCUUCACCGCAGUCCUGUGUGCGGGUAGCAAUGUUAACUUUCACACAACGACAGGACGGAGUUUAUCGCUGCAGUGAAGCCAGCCUCCACUUCCAAACACAGUCAAGCCAGCAUGUUAUUCACGGUGCACCUUUAUACUAGAAAUUAUGGUAGAGGUGUUAUCCGUGUGUGUCCUGGUGUCCUAGUUUUCUUUUUUUCCGACAGGUGCCUCAUGUUCCUUACUCACAUAUCUGUCCAUGCUGGGUUCUGUCCCCGUUGAUUUAGAAAGUGGGCAUGGGAAGCUAAACACAGCGUUAGUACGUAGCUAACAAGCUAUCUAAACCUUCCGGCUGCUCGUGGUCGCUCUUGUUAUGUUGUUAAAACGGCACCUCCCGAGACUCGACCCAGCCUUGAGAGCGCAGCGAAGGCCGGCAAAGGGAUAUCCCUAAGCUGAAUGUAAUUCAGGACGCUAAAUUUAUAUUAUAUGUCACUCAUUAUCUUUAUCAGUUAUUGGCUAAACUGCUUCUUAGACCGACCGCUUUGGGACCCGGCCCGAGCCCAGCUGAGACAAGCAGACAAGCGAGAGGAGGACGUGCAGGAAAACCAUAUAUUUUGCACAGAUAUCUUAAUUUACAAACUAUUUGACAAAUGUAUUUUUAUUAUAAUAAAAAAAAUGAUUAUCUUCUUUUUUUUUUGUGGCUCAAGGUGGGGCCAUGCCCCAUGGCCCUCUAUGGACCACCCGCCACUGGUGCUGAGGUAGCUUUAGAAGAUUGAAUGGAAGGAUGUCUUUUUGUACGUCACAAUUGCAAAUGUAAAAAAAGCCAAUGCUGGAACCACCUAAACACAUAUAGGAAAAAGGUCUAAACUAACUUCUGGUCGACGGGGGAGACCGGGGGGACACCGUCAUUUUCAAGCAGCCGCUGCUGCCUGGAGUAACGCCACGGUCGAAAAGGUUGCAGGGGACCCCACACUUUUUUGGCUUGCCAAGAUACUUUUCAAUCCAAGUCAUGGCGAUGCGUUGUUCAGUGCCGGUCAGCAAGCCUCUUGUUUCUCUCAGCUGUUCUCAACAGCGCUGCCUUGGUGUCCCUCCAAAUCUUACGACCGCAUCGAAGAUGUUGCACAGACAGAACAGCCAACUCCUCCUCCUCUCCUGGGAACAAUGGAGGUUGACAGCCCAAUGAUCUGUCCAGUGGCAGUGGAGGAGAGAGAGUUGUGUGCAUACUCUAUCCAACUUAGUUGAGUAUUCCAGGAAGUUGAAUUUGAAGCACCGACACAACGAAUGGGAGACUCCAGAUCGUUAUUUGCGCUCUCAGACUGUCCUUUAGUCUGUGGGUGGAACCCAGACAACCGUCUGACUGUGGCUCCUAGGGCGUGGCAAAAUGACCUCCAAACUUGCCAGAUGAACUGAGGGCCACGGUUUGAGACGUUGUCCAACGGAAGGCCAUGGAGGCGGAAGACAGGUUACGUCAAGAGAACUGUAGUCUCGCAAGGUGAAGGAAGCCAUGAAAUGGGCAGCCUUGGAAAAACAGUCUACAAUGGUAAGUAUUGUGGUCAUCCCAACAGAAAGACGUAGACCAGUGAAAAAGUCCACGCCGAUGUGGGAGCAAGGAUGACCAGGCGUUGAUAAGGGGCGGAGCAAUCAAAUAGGGAGUUGGUGAGAGGUCUUGCCCCGGGCACAAGCCAGGAAGGCAAGGACGUAUCCCUUAGUGUUCCCAUCCAUGGUAGGCCCCAAGAAGUGUUGUCUGUGGAGAGACAAUGUCCGACUAAUCCCUGAAGGACAGGUGAACCGAGAGGCACAAACAGCUAAUUUGCAGGUCCUGUGCCGGGGGGUCGGGAUCCACGUGUUGCGCCUCGCAAAACACUGACUC
ensembl:lncRNA